CCUACGGGAGGCAGCAGUGAGGAAUAUUGGUCAAUGGACGAGAGUCUGAACCAGCCAAGUAGCGUGAAGGAUGACUGCCCUAUGGGUUGUAAACUUCUUUUAUAAAGGAAUAAAACGAGGCACGUGUGCCUUUUUGCAUGUACUUUAUGAAUAAGGAUCGGCUAACUCCGUGCCAGCAGCCGCGGUAAUACGGAGGAUCCGAGCGUUAUCCGGCUUUAUUGGGUUUAAAGGGAGCGUAGAUGGGUUGUUAAGUCAGUUGUGAAAGGUUGCGGCUCAACCGUAAAAUUGCAAUUGAUACUGGCAGUCUUGAGUACAGUUGAGGUAGGCGGAAUUCGUGGUGUAGCGGUGAAAUGCUUAGAGAUCACGAAGAACCCCGAUUGCGAAGGCAGCUUACUAAACUGUGACUGACAUUGAUGCUCGAAAGUGUGGGUAUCAAACAGGAUUAGAUACCCUUGUAGUC
rnacentral:rRNA from 1 species